GUGGGUAGUUUGACUGGGGCGGUCUCCUCCUAAAGAGUAACGGAGGAGCACGAAGGUUGGCUAAUCCUGGUCGGACAUCAGGAGGUUAGUGCAAUGGCAUAAGCCAGCUUGACUGCGAGCGUGACGGCGCGAGCAGGUGCGAAAGCAGGUCAUAGUGAUCCGGUGGUUCUGAAUGGAAGGGCCAUCGCUCAACGGAUAAAAGGUACUCCGGGGAUAACAGGCUGAUACCGCCCAAGAGUUCAUAUCGACGGCGGUGUUUGGCACCUCGAUGUCGGCUCAUCACAUCCUGGGGCUGAAGUAGGUCCCAAGGGUAUGGCUGUUCGCCAUUUAAAGUGGUACGCGAGCUGGGUUUAGAACGUCGUGAGACAGUUCGGUCCCUAUCUGCCGUGGGCGCUGGAGAACUGAGGGGGGCUGCUCCUAGUACGAGAGGACCGGAGUGGACGCAUCACUGGUGUUCGGGUUGUCAUGCCAAUGGCACUGCCCGGUAGCUAAAUGCGGAAGAGAUAAGUGCUGAAAGCAUCUAAGCACGAAACUUGCCCCGAGAUGAGUUCUCCCUGAGACUUAAAGUCUCCUGAAGGAACGUUGAAGACGACGACGUUGAUAGGCCGGGUGUGUA
rnacentral:rRNA from 2 species